rnacentral:lncRNA from 1 species
UCCGGGAGGGAGAGAGGGCGAGGAACUGCCUGCUUCCCCCAAACAGGAAUUUUUCCUAAUGGGCUGAGUUCUCAGCUGAUGAGAGAGAUGUUGGACGGACCCUAACAAGAGAAGGCUCUACAUGCAGCACCGAGCUAUACCGGAAGCAUGGUGCCAACAUCUGUUCCUGGUGAGGCCACAGGAAGCUUCCAAUCAUGACUGAAGAUGAAGGGGAGCCAGCGCAUCAUGUGAUGAGAAAGAGAGAUGAAAUCAAGUUGAAAUCAACAUGGAGGGCUGCCUUGACCUGGAGGUGUGUGUGUGCCCGCAUGUGCACGGGUGUAGCCACAAAAUGAGGAUGUGCAGCUUGAGAAUGGGGUGUGAGAGAGG